rnacentral:misc_RNA from 1 species
UACGAACCGUGCUAACGUUAUUCGGAAUCAUUGGGCUUAAAGAGCGCGUAGGCGGCAUUGUAAGUUGGAGGUGAAAUCCCACGGCUCAACCGUGGAACUGCCCCCAAAACUGCAAUGCUUGAGGGAGGUAGGGGCCUGUGGAACUUCCGGUGGAGCGGUGAAAUGUGUUGAGAUCGGAAGGAACGCCAGCGGCGAAAGCGACAGGCUGGAUCUCUACUGACGCUGAGGCGCGAAAGCUAGGGUAGCGAACGGG